GGGGAAUCUUCCGCAAUGGGCGAAAGCCUGACGGAGCAAUACCGCGUGAAGGAGGAAGGCUCUUGGGUCGUAAACUUCAAAACUUAGGGAAGAAGCAAGUGACGGUACCUAAUAUAAGCAUCGGCUAACUCCGUGCCAGCAGCCGCGGUAAUACGGAGGAUGCAAGCGUUAUCCGGAAUCAUUGGGCGUAAAGAGUCUGUAGGUGGCAAUUCAAGUCUGCUGUCAAAGACCGAAGCUUAACUUCGGAAAGGCGGUGGAAACUGAAUAGCUAGAGUAAAGCAGGGGUAGAGGGAAUUCCUAGUGUAGCGGUGAAAUGCGUAGAGAUUAGGAAGAACACCAGUGGCGAAGGCGCUCUACUGGGCUUUAACUGACACUGAGAGACGAAAGCUAGGGUAGCGAAAGGGAUUAGAUACCCCUGUAGUC
rnacentral:rRNA from 1 species